CUCCUCACCCCGCUACUCCGCUGCCUUUUCUCGCCCCUUCUCCCUCUAACCAUAGCUUCUCUUCAACAUUUGCCAGCCAUGGAACCAAGACCGUCUAAUCGCCAACCAUCUUACUCAACCCCACUAGAAAUCACCAAUUGACUCCCGUCACUUUCUCUCAGUCUCUAUAUCACUGCUCUCAUUUGGCUCCGCCAUCACCAUUCUCAAAGGUUCUGUUUUGUUUCAAAAGCAGAUAGACGAUUUUUUUCAGCAACAAUGAGAGAAGAAGUUGAUGAGCUAAGCUAAAAUACCAUAGAGUUGUAGCUGCAUUAAUAAGAGAAAUAUAAAGACUUGUUGUAUUUUGUAAUGUAUUAUUUAUUUUUUAAAUUUGUAAAUUUACAAUAUUUUAAUUUUUUUUAUGAUGAUUGAUGUAAUAUAUUUUACAAUAAAAAUUUGUUUAUUUUUAUUAUAA